rnacentral:rRNA from 1 species
CCCUUAGAUGUUCUGGGCCGCACGCGCGCUACAAUGAUGAAUUCAACGAGUUUAUAACCUUGGUUGAAAAGCCUGGGUAAUCUUUUGAACUUUCGUCGUGAUGGGGCUAGACCCUUGCAAUUAUUGGUCUCCAACGAGGAAUUCCUAGUAAACGCAAGUCAUCAGCUUGCAUUGAUUACGUCCCUGCCCUCUGUACACACCGCCCGUCGCACCUACCGAUUGAAUGGUCCGGUGAAAUCUUCGGAUUGAGACUUUGAUUUCUUCACGGAAAACGCUGUUUUAAAAAGUUGAUUAAACCUUACCAUUUAGAGGAAGGUGAAGUCGUAACA